rnacentral:rRNA from 1 species
AGCGGAGGGAUCAUUACCGAGUUUACAACUCCCAAACCCCUGUGAACAUACCAAUUGUUGCCUCGGCGGAUCAGCCCGCUCCCGGUAAAACGGGACGGCCCGCCAGAGGACCCCUAAACUCUGUUUCUAUAUGUAACUUCUGAGUAAAACCAUAAAUAAAUCAAAACUUUCAACAACGGAUCUCUUGGUUCUGGCAUCGAUGAAGAACGCAGCAAAAUGCGAUAAGUAAUGUGAAUUGCAGAAUUCAGUGAAUCAUCGAAUCUUUGAACGCACAUUGCGCCCGCCAGUAUUCUGGCGGGCAUGCCUGUUCGAGCGUCAUUUCAACCCUCAAGCCCCCGGGUUUGGUGUUGGGGAUCGGCGAGCCCUUGCGGCAAGCCGGCCCCGAAAUCUAGUGGCGGUCUCGCUGCAGCUUCCAUUGCGUAGUAGUAAAACCCUCGCAACUGGUACGCGGCGCGGCCAAGCCGUUAAACCCCCAACUUCUGAAUGUUGACCUCGGAUCAGGUAGGAAUACCCGCUGAACUUAAGCAUAUCAAUAAGCGGAGGAA